AAAGACGGAGAGAGAGAGAGGGAGAGAGAGAGAAGAAAGAAAGAAUGAAAAAAAAAAGAAAGAAAGAAUUGGCAACCCUUUUUUGGCUUAUUAUCGUUGACCCAACCUAGAAACUUGGACCUCUAUAUCCGUGAUGGAUCCAAACUCGUUCUUUUCUCAACGACGGAUUUAGUGGGAAGGACAGUCGAGGAAGAAAGAAUAAAAAAAAGAAGAAAAAGAAAGAAAAAAAAUAGGAAAAAGAAACAAAACGAAAAGAGGAAAAAACGACAGGAAAAGUUUUACGUUAAUGGCCCGAGCGAUUUCUUAGCAACAGAAAUUCAAUUUAUAAGGAGACAAACAGGAUUUCAUCUUUGUUCUGAAGGAAAAUAGUAUCAGUAGCGACGUGCCUUCGAGAAGGCUCUUCGAAAUUUUCCAAAGGCUUUCCAAAGGUAUGAUGUCUUUGGCUGGUAAAGAAAAUUUUUUGUCUAGAAUCAAGGAAGGAACGUGGCUGCUACUCGUGCCGGCACGAGUGGAGAUGGCGGCUUUGGUGGCCGAUGGAGAAGGGUACCGCGCGCCAGAGAGAGAGAGAGAGAGACGGAGAGAGAGGGUAGGCGGGUGAAAGCAAGGGGUGGAAAAGCUGGAUCAAUAGUCCCGUUGCCGCCUCACUCAAUUUGCUCUCUCUGUCUCUGUCUCUGUCUCUCUCUCUCUCUCUCUCUCUAUCUCUCUCUAUCCCUUUCUAUCUCUAUCUCUAUCCUACUCUCGCUCAAUCACUCUCACCCUUCGUCCUUCACUUCCCCCUUCUCUACUUCCCUCGAAUUUGUGCAACUUCACUCGCCGAUGUUCAUUAACUACGAGAUCCUCGCCAUUCUUACUUGACUCUUUCGACACUUCUGGUGGCGCACGACACCAAUCCGGGAAACUUCCCCCCAUGUCGCACUUUUCAACCUUCCUCUCUACACUCUUCUUCUAUCCCUCCCUUAAGCUACUAUCUACCACUGUUACCACUAGUCCAUCGAUGAGCCACAGUGACGCUCAGUAAUUGGCACUCGAUGUAAAGCAAUCUCGUUGUUUUCUCCCUCGACGAGAAAACUCGUUCACGCUCACUCUGAUCCGAAAAAAAGUUGUUUCGUUUGUACAAGUUUUCUUAGACUCAGAGAAAAUGUGUGUAAUUUGGUAAAUGACUAUGUUGGAUUCGUUAAAUUAACAACGACGAAAGUACAACACCCAAGAGAAAAGAGCAAUUCGAAAUGCUCGUCACUUUGCGAACGAAGCAAAAGGAUAGAAGAAACGGACAGUGGAAGACGGACAGCAGUGGUAAACAGUGUAGACGGACAAGGCCAGUGGAGAAUUGAAACGGACAAUGGGGAUAGUAGAAGCGGACAAGAGAAAUGGACGCUGGUGGGACUCUAGCGUAGAAAUAAAUAGUAGAAACGGCUGUUACAAACGGCCAACGAGUGACAAAGUGUGGCUGACUGUGUGGAUGCUCGCUAUCGAAAAGAGGUAAAAGAAGGCGUGCAAUUCUCAAUGGCGUCGAGGAAGCAGCGGUAACUGGGUGGAGAAAAUGGAUGAACGAACGAUCGCUAAAACGAACAAUGGAGAAUAAACAAGACUCGUAGAAUUCGUAUAUGUACCUACAUAGACGAUGGCAUAGGAAAGCGUCGAUUGCAGUGCGACUAAAGCGAGCAAAUAUCGAGGUUAUAUAUGAGGCGCCGAUAGAGCAUGUUGCUUGCAAAUGAGAGAGACAGGAAGAGAGAGAGAGAGAGAGAGAAAGAGAGAGAGGAGGAAAUGCGUUUAUUUAAUUCAAUUAAAAUUCUUAUUAAGUUCAAACAUCGUGUCCUCGUGAUUCGUUUCGAUGCGAAUUCAUGGUGAACGAAUUAGAAAUCAUCACGUGUCACCGAUACAUCUACAAAUAUACCUAUGUGUACUUGA